AAUAGGAGAAUGACAAAUCAGAUUUUUCCUCCUUAUUUUCAGGUUUUUCCUCUUGAAAAAUUAUUCAAAUUCAAGAGGAAAAAUCUGAUUUAUCAUUCUCCUGUU
rfam:Gossypium raimondii Chr10_contig_430, whole genome shotgun sequence.